GUCUCCAGUACUGUGUACAAUACUCCAAGUGAGGUCUCACCAGUGUUCUGUACAAUGGCAUGAGCACUUCCCUCUUUCUACUGCUAAUACCUCUCCCUAUACAACCAAGCAUUCUGCUAGCAUUUCCUGCUGCUCUAUUACAUUGUCUGCCUACCUUUAAGUCAUCAGAAAUAAUCACCCCUAAAUCCCUUUCCUGAUAUGUUGAGGUUAAAUAAUCACCCCUACAUGUGAGUCCUGGGAUGUGAAGUUUAAAUGCUGAGCUACCUGUUGAGUGGCUCAUCCCUGCUGUAUAUUAACAGUUGCCAUGAGGGAUAGAUGGUUACCACAUAUAAAAUGGCCACAUAUCGAACAACAAACUUUACAUUAAUCAAAAGAGCAUAAAACCAUUUACACGUGUUGUGUUAACCAGCCCUUAUACUUUACCGUCUAUGCCAUUUUAGAAGAAAAUUAUACUGAUCACAUGCCUGUGGGGUUUUUCAUAUGUGAAAAAGAUCCUGGUGACAACAUAUUUUCUGGGAUAUUCCAUUUAGCAUUGUUUGUUAGUCUUGUUCAUGCUCACUACCCCAUUCAUAUAAAGGGGACUACAUGUACUGUAUAGUUCAAUUUUGGCUGUAUGAGCAAAAUGUUAACAGGACUGCUGUCCCAUACCACAUCACAAUCUAAAAUGUUAUUGUAGUGAAAAAAAACAAAAAAACUCUUUGGUGGUUGGCAUAAUGCUUUCAGUGUGGGAUCAAAUCUGCUCUCCAACUUAAAAAAAAAAUGGUAAUGCAACACAAGGGAAUUUUGUUUGUGCAUUCAUGUUAAUUCAGUGUUUUGAAGUGGAGGAUUUUAUUGGUUAAGGUGGUUUUAUUGAUUUAUUAUUUUGUUUUGUUUUUUUGAACUUGGAAAUGGCAUCUUUAGGAAUCCACCAUUAGGUCACAGAAUUAGUAUUCCAAGAAGAAGAUAAUAAACAUGUACGCAUU